GUUCAUUCCUGAACAUAUACUAUCUAAAAUUGGAACUAUGCAGAGAAGAUGAGCAUGACCCCGCAAGGAUUACACAAAUUCGCGAGACGUUCCAAAAUUAUUU
rnacentral:snRNA from 1 species